CUAAAAUAUUAUAAGAUAAGAUCUUUAAAUUUAAAGAAUUUGGCGGUAAUUUAGUCUUUCCAGAGGAACUUGUUUUUUAAUCGAUAAACCACGAAUAAUCUUACUUGAGUUUGUAUACCGUCAUUAUCAGAUAAUUUUUAUUGAAUAUUGUUAAGUAUUAAAAAAUAAAAUAAAUUAGAUCAAGGUGCAGCUUAUAAAUAAGUUAAAAUGAGUUACAAUUAAUUAUUAUAUAAAUAAUGAAUAUUAAUUUUUUUUGAAGGUGGAUUUGGUUGUAAUAAAAAUUAAUAAGAUUACAAGAUAUAAGCUCUAGAUUAUGU
rnacentral:rRNA from 1 species